UUCUAGCUGGAGACUGCACAAUUGUUCUCCUUCUUUUGCUCCAGCAUUACCUGAUGAUCCAUUUGGAAACAACACAGUGACUCUGGUAGCACCUUGGAGGCCUCUGGGAGCGAUUGUGCUAGUUCAUCCAUGCUGCAAAUCUAUGGAGGUCAAAUGAAACUACAUCACAUCAGUGGCUGUUCCUUAAUGCCUCAAGCUGAAAAGCAGCCAGUCAAGUGAAGACAGCAACAGAGAAAAAGCAGAACACAUCAUGGUUAAUUUGAAUGCUCUUUAGUGAUUUUACUCCUCGCAAUUACUGGCAGUAAUUUAUGAAGAGGGAAGCUGGCCCCUCUGGGGAUGAAUUCCACCAGCUCCUGAAAGCACAGAUUGAACCACGAGGCCUCUGUGGAAGGCAUUGUUUGAGAGAAGAAGUAGCAAAAAGGCAUUUUGAAGCCAUUGAAACUGGUUUUGUUUGUUAUUUCCUAGAGUCCUCACUGAAUACCACUAGAACAACUGCCUGCUCCUCCAUUGAGAUGCAAUGGUUCCUUCCCUGUGACUCUACUGCAAUGAAGCCUGCAGUCCUACAGUUAUAACAGAUCUUUGUGCUUUCUGCUGGUGAGGAUUCCAGCUCCCUUGGGGAACAAGAAAAAGAAGUGGUCUUCCAGUACUGAAAGAAGCAUUCCCAAACAAUCCUACCAUGGUUAACUCCUGGCUCUGCUCUGGAAAAUUAAGGAAAAGAAGCAACCUGUAUCUGUAUGCAUGCAUCAUAUACAAGAGUCUAGCAGACAACGUAAGGAAAACAUUUAACUAUACAAAGGAUGUUGUUCUCAUCGUCCAAAAUAUCUCUGAUUUUAAUGUCUCACCAUCUGAAAUGUCUCUGAUUUUAGUAUCUCACUGUCUGAAAGGUCUCUGAUUUUAGCUGCUGGAAGUUAAGCAACCAACAGAUGAAGGCUGUGCCACAGGAACACAGUUUAGCUGUAGAGUAAGUGCAUCAAGUUACUCAGGUUGACAACACCUUGGCCUUUUGCAUUCCCACAUUAAUGGAUGAAGCAAUAGUGGCACUGAGGUCAAAGGCAAAAUUCAUAGCGACUUCUGUGAAACCAGGAUUUAAACUGGGAGGUUUGGAAGUGGGUGAAGACAGUCUUUUUCCUUCACCAAGAAGAAAUGUGUCUGUCUGUGCUGCCUCUAAACUCUGACCAUUCUGCCAGGAAUAGAAACUACAUAAGCCGGGAAGUUUUCCAGAUUUCAUAUUAACCCACUGCCAUAUUUCUUCUGCAAGUGACUAUCAUUAUGAUACAGCCUGAAUAUGCUGAAAGUCGGUUAGCAAAAAGCAAAAUGUAUUCCAGGAACGCUCACUUUCAGUAUCCCCCAGAGAGAAAAAACAGCACUUUUAGGUGAUGCAAUUCCUAAACAAUCUGCUCUUCCUUUGGCCUACACCUCCCAUGUCUUGAUGCAAAGUGGAUGACAGCAAACCCCAGUUUUCCUGGUAAGCAACCCAAUGCCAGCUCCGAGAUGGACCCGCCACUGACCAAGGCCCACUCCAUCAGCAGUGGUGGCAGUGCCUCUGGGGUAAUGGGCUGAAGAAGGGAGGAAAACCCAAACAGCAACUUCAGCUGGAGAAAGGAGUGAGAAUGUGUAAGAAACAGCCCUGCAGACACCAAGGUCAGUGCAGGAGGAGGCAGGAGGUCCUACAGGCACCGUAGCAGAAAUUGCCCUGCAGUCCAUGAAGGUUAACAAGGGAG